ACACCUCAACUCUUUAUGGUUUUCCAUGAUGAGCUUGGACUCUGGGGGUCUUGCUGGCCUGUGGUCGGCUCCUCUCAAAUGAAUCAGCUUGCCGGUGUUUGGUGGGCAUCACAGGUGUGAUAACUAUCUACGCUUGUGGUCUUCCACCAGGGUAACCUUCAGCAGUGGAGGUUCACUGGAGCUCACAAAUGUCUCUCCUCAGUGGGGACAGCCCUUUAAAU
rnacentral:misc_RNA from 1 species